rnacentral:rRNA from 1 species
GACGAACGCUGGCGGCGUGCCUAAUACAUGCAAGUAGAACGCACAGUUUAUACCGUAGCUUGCUACACCAUAAACUGUGAGUUGCGAACGGGUGAGUAACGCGUAGGUAACCUGCCUGGUAGCGGGGGAUAACUAUUGGAAACGAUAGCUAAUACCGCAUAAUAUUGAUUAUUGCAUGAUAAUUGAUUGAAAGAUGCUAUUGCAUCACUACCAGAUGGACCUGCGUUGUAUUAGCUAGUAGGUGAGGUAACGGCUCACCUAGGCGACGAUACAUAGCCGACCAGGGAGGGUGAUCGGCCACACUGGGACUGAGACACGGCCCAGACGCCUACGGGAGGCAGCAGUAGGGAAUCUUCGGCAAUGGACGAAAGUCUGACCGAGAAACGCCGCGUGAGUGAAGAAGGUUUUCGGAUCGUAAAGCUCUGUUGUAAGAGAAGUACGGGUGUGAGAGUGGAAAGUUCACACUGUGACGGUAUCUUACCAGAGAGGGACGGCUAACUACGUG